rnacentral:rRNA from 1 species
CCUACGGGAGGCUGCAGUGGGGAAUAUUGGACAAUGGGCGAAAGCCUGAUCCAGCCAUGCCGCGUGUGUGAAGAAGGCCUUCGGGUUGUAAAGCACUUUCAGUGGGGAAGAAAGCCUUGGGGCUAAUACCCUCGAGGAAGGACAUCACCCACAGAAGAAGCACCGGCUAACUCCGUGCCAGCAGCCGCGGUAAUACGGAGGGUGCGAGCGUUAAUCGGAAUUACUGGGCGUAAAGCGCGCGUAGGCGGUCUGAUAAGCCGGUUGUGAAAGCCCCGGGCUCAACCUGGGAACGGCAUCCGGAACUGUCAGGCUAGAGUGCAGGAGAGGAAGGUAGAAUUCCCGGUGUAGCGGUGAAAUGCGUAGAGAUCGGGAGGAAUACCAGUGGCGAAGGCGGUCUUCUGGACUGACACUGACGCUGAGGUGCGAAAGCGUGGGUAGCAAACAGGAUUAGCUACCCGUGUAGUC